CAGUGCAUUGAAGAGUUCGUUCUAAGCAUAUUUUGUUUCUCCUUCAUCCUCUCUUUCUCCCUAUCUUGAUAUGUAACAAGUGAUGAGUCCUACCAUCAUAUGUUGGUGUUAUUAUGCUUGUGUAUACUUGUAUAUGGAGUUAGGUUUAGCCAUGAAGUUGUGAUGCCUUUGAGCUCCAUUACCAUCUAAGUCAGCUUGAUGUGUAUGGAACUGUACAGUGUCAUACAUUACUUUUAUAUUAGUUGCACUGAUUCAAGAUGAUUUUCCAAUUGCUUGUGCUGGGAUUAUGCCAGGGAAUACCCAUUCCUGCUAGCUAUAGGAGGCUCCAAGGGAAGAUUGGAAGUAUGGGACACCUUAUCUGAUGCUAGGGUCGCAAAAAAAUUUGGAAAGUAUAAUAAUCGUAAAGUGGCAUCCCCAGAAGAGCCUUGAUGAUGAAACUAGAGAGAGAAAUUUAUUUACUCAAUUUAUGCUGGUGGCUGGAGUCCUGAUAAUGAAACCAGAAGCUACUGGUCCUUAUCAGAAGCUACUGCAACCAAGGCUCUUCCGAUGCAACUAUAAAACAAGGCUAGCUAUUUAACAAGGUUAAACUGGAUGUCUCCUUUCUGCUUUCUGGUUCCUUUCCUAUCAUGAAAUCUAGAAGGUUUUGGUUCUCUGUCUAGUUUUUUAUGCUUGUAGUCGAGUAUUGUGGCUAUUGUAUAUAAUUGAAUAUGAUCAAUUUUGAGGAGGUUAAUGGAUAAAUUCAGAGAAUUGUAUGUCAUGA